AAUCAACGCUGGCGGCGUGCCUCAGACAUGCAAGUCGAACGCGAAAGGCCCCUUCGGGGGCCCGGGUAGAGUGGCGCACGGGUGAGUAACACGUAGGUAAUUUGCCUUCGGGUGGGGAAGUAACAGCCGGAAACGGCUGCUAAUACCGCAUAAUGCAGCGGCUCGACAUCGAGACAGUUGUUAAAGACGGGGGAGUCGCAAGACCUCGCGCCUGAAGAGAAGCCUGCGGCAGAUAGUCUUGUUGGUGAGGUAAUGGCUCACCAAGGCGACGAUCUGUAACCGGCCUGAGAGGGCGGUCGGUCACACUGACACUGACAUACGGGUCAGACUCCUACGGGAGGCAGCAGUCGGGAA
rnacentral:rRNA from 1 species